rnacentral:rRNA from 1 species
UACGUAGGCAGCAAGCGUUGUCCGAAGUUACUGGGCGUAAAGCGCGCGUAGGCGGGUUGGUAAGUCCGCUGUGAAAGCCCGGGGCUUAACCCCGGAGGGUCGGUGGAUACUGCCAGUCUUGAAGGUGCUAGGGAGAGAUGGAAUUACCGGUGUAGCGGUGAAAUGCGUAGAUAUCGGUAGGAACACCAGUGGCGAAGGCGGUCUCUUGGGGCACUCGUUGACGCUGGAGGCGCGAAAGCCAGGGGAGCAAACGGG